rnacentral:piRNA from 1 species
UUGUCUUUACCUGUCAGCGCA